ACGGAAGGCAGCAGUGGGGAAUAUUGCACAAUGGGGGAAACCCUGAUGCAGCGACGCCGCGUGAGUGAAGAAGUUAUUCGUAAUGUAAAGCUCUAUCAGCAGGGAAGAAAAUGACGGUACCUGACUGAGAAGCCCCGGCUAACUACGUGCCAGCAGCCGCGGUAAUACGUAGGGGGCAAGCGUUAUCCGGAUUUACUGGGUGUAAAGGGAGCGUAGACGGUCUGGCAAGUCUGAUGUGAAAGGCAGGGGCUCAACUCCUGGACUGCAUUGGAAACUGUCAGUCUUGAGUGUCGGAGAGGUAAGCGGAAUUCCUAGUGUAGCGGUGAAAUGCGUAGAUAUUAGGAGGAACACCAGUGGCGAAGGCGGCUUACUGGACGAUAACUGACGUUGAGGCUCGAAAGCGUGGGGAGCAAACAGGAUUAGAUACCCUGGUA
rnacentral:rRNA from 1 species